ACGGCNCCCAUCUNGCUGCCGGGGACGGGCUCCUGGGCUUAACUGUCCGGGACUCGGAGUCGACRAGGUUACUUUGAGUAAAUUARAGUGUUCAAAGCAGGCCUACGCUCUGAAUACWUUACAUGRAAUAACACGAUAGGACUCUGGCCUAUCUUGUUGGUCUGUAGGACCGGAGUAAUGAUUAARAGGGACAGUCGGGGGCAUUCGUAUUUCAUUGUCAGAGGUGAAAUUCU
rnacentral:rRNA from 1 species